CCUACGGGAGGCAGCAGUGGGGAAUCUUGCGCAAUGGGCGAAAGCCUGACGCAGCAACGCCGCGUGCGGGAAGAAGGCCUUCGGGUUGUAAACCGCUUUCAGCAGGAACGAAAAUGACGGUACCUGCAGAAGAAGGAGCGGCCAACUACGUGCCAGCAGCCGCGGUGACACGUAGGCUCCAAGCGUUGUCCGGAUUUAUUGGGCGUAAAGAGCUCGUAGGCGGUUCAGUAAGUCGGGUGUGAAAACUCUGGGCUCAACCCAGAGCCUGCAUUCGAAACUGCUGUGACUAGAGUUUGGUAGGGGAGCGGGGAAUUCCUAGUGUAGCGGUGAAAUGCGCAGAUAUUAGGAGGAACACCGGUGGCGAAAGCGCCGCUCUGGGCCAAUACUGACGCUGAGGAGCGAAAGCGUGGGUAGCAAACAGGAUUAGAUACCCUGGUAGUCCACGCCGUAAACGAUGGCACUAGGUGUGGUUACAACUAACGAACUCCGUGCCGUCGCUAACGCAUAGUGCCCGCCGUCGGGUAGGUACGGUCGCGAGACGUAAACGUACGAAGAAGUAGACGGCGUGAGACGUUGUCCGACGGACGACGACGAGGGAGGAGG
rnacentral:rRNA from 1 species